AUUGAACGCUGGCGGCAGGCCUAACACAUGCAAGUCGAGCGGAUGAAGGGAGCUUGCUCCUGGAUUCAGCGGCGGACGGGUGAGUAAUGCCUAGGAAUCUGCCUGGUAGUGGGGGAUAACGUCCGGAAACGGGCGCUAAUACCGCAUACGUCCUGAGGAAGAAGUGGGGGAACUUUGGACCUCCACCUUAUCGAUGGACCUAGGUCGGAUUAGCUAGUUGGUGGGGUAAAGGCCUACCAAGGCGACGAUCCGUAACUGGUCUGAGAGGAUGAUCAGUCACACUGGAACUGAGACACGGUCCAGACUCCUACGGGAGGCAGCAGUGGGGAAUAUUGGACAAUGGGCGAAAGCCUGAUCCAGCCAUGCCGCGUGUGUGAAGAAGGUCUUCGGAUUGUAAAGCACUUUAAGUUGGGAGGAAGGGCAGUAAGUUAAUACCUUGCUGUUUUGACGUUACCAACAGAAUAAGCACCGGCUAACUUCGUG
rnacentral:rRNA from 1 species